rnacentral:rRNA from 1 species
AUUGAACGCUGGCGGCAGGCCUAACACAUGCAAGUCGAACGAGUGGCGGACGGGUGAGUCCUGUGUGGGAAAGUGCCCGAUGGAGGGGUAUAACUACUGGAAACGGUAGCUAAUACCGCAUACCCUCGGAUGUGCCCAGAUGGGAUUAGCUAGUAGGUGGGUUAACGGCUCACCUAGGCGACGAUCCCUAGCUGGUCUGAGAGGAUGACCAGCCACACUGGAACUGAUACACGUUCCAGACUCCUACGGGAGGCAGCAGUGGGGAAUAUUGCACAAUGGGCGCAAGCCUGAUGCAGCCAUGCCGCGUGUAUGAAGAAGGCCUUCGGGUUGUAAAGUACUUGCAGCGAGGAGGCGUUACUCGCAGAAGAAGCACCGGCUAACUCCGUGCCAGCAGCCGCGGUAAUAC